UAUCGGUAGCCUACCUGAGAAAACUUUUUUGGAAAGACGGCUAUGGACCCAACCAACUUUAUUUGGGAGGGGAGAACUCCCUCACAUGGUACAACCCAUGCUGAGGCUGCGGUGUCAGAAUGCAAAACGUGUUUAGCGUACUUUAAGAGGAGAUGGACUAACGUGAAAAAUGUCAAAUAAAUAAAUAAAUAAAUUAUCGGCCGGCCCAAAAGUGAAGCGGCCCACCGGGAACUCUCCCGGUUCUCCCGAUUACCCACCCCGGGCCUGUCCCAAGGUAAUGUUAACGUUACCGUGAAAAAAGGUCUAUUAGUCAAUAACAUUAACGUUACUUCUUUACUCAGCACAGCUUCCACAAGGGUGCCGUCCAUUUAAUCUUUAUCCAACGCGCCAACACUUUGAAGUCGGUAUUUAAUGUGUUUUACACAGAUGGACUCCAGAGGGUUAAACUUACAGCGAAGGAAAACAGAGACUGUCCUCUCUCCCCCGACACACAUCCAACCUCAGGAAAUCGCUAUAAAUCUCUAUCAAAAAGGUCCAUUAUCGUUGGUGCUUGAAACUGAGCUGCUCCAGAAAGUGGAAUAUGGAUGAGCAGCUUGAGAUGAAAGAAAAGAGGACUGCGCUAGAUGAGAUCCAGCUGAUCACGGCGCCGGACUGAUUUCCUUUUGAUGAGCCACUGAGUAAUUCCAGUUUAUAUGUGUCGGCUUAGGAUGAUGUGGCACGGCCGUCUAUUCAUGAACAUUUCCUGGAAAACUUUUAAAAGAUCUCAGAACCAUUGCAUUUUUUUGUUCAGUAUCUUCAGAUAUUUAAAAUUGCUUUUAAAAGUUUCAGGAGAAUGAGUUAAAAGUUGUGACAGAGUCCUGACACUACCUUAUUCCACAAUCGAACUGUUGUGCCUUUUUUAUUUUCUCCCCGAUGUGCAAGCUCUCCGAAGGCCACUGUUGAAUGUUUUAAUCCUUCCUUUAGAGUGUUGAAUGUGAAUGUCAUUGAAUGUCCUUCAUGAAUUUGUCAUUGAUUUUUUCUUUUCCAUAAAGCAGUUUUCCUCAGGCUAUGUGCCAACCUCAGCCACAGGUAGCUGGUUCAAACAGGGGCCAGUUAAAUGAAAACUGCAUUUGAAUUUUUUUUGUUGUCAGAUAAUCCUUAUAAAAAAUGUAACAGCCAUAGUAUAAAUCAUUUUUAUUGGGUGCAUCCAAAAAAUAUAUAUAAUUGUAUAUAUAAGUAUAAUGUUUUUAAUUAUGUGAAAAUGGAGAGA